UACGUAGGUGACCAGCGUUGUCCGGAUUUACUGGGCGUAAAGAGCGCGCAGGCGGUCGUUCAAGUCGAGUGUGAAAGCCCCCGGCUCAACUGGGGAGGGUCACUCGAUACUGAUCGACUUGAAGGCAGGAGAGGGAAGCGGAAUUCCCGGUGUAGUGGUGAAAUGCGUAGAUAUCGGGAGGAACACCAGUGGCGAAGGCGGCUUCCUGGCCUGUUCUUGACGCUGAGGCGCGAAAGCUAGGGUAGCAAACAGG
rnacentral:rRNA from 1 species